rnacentral:rRNA from 1 species
UACGUAGGGUGCGAGCGUUGUCCGGAAUUAUUGGGCGUAAAGAGCUCGUAGGCGGUGUGUCACGUCGGCCGUGAAAACCUGCAGCUUAACUGUGGGUGUGCGGUCGAUACGGGCAUCACUGGAGUUCGGCAGGGGAGACUGGAAUUCCUGGUGUAGCGGUGAAAUGCGCAGAUAUCAGGAGGAACACCGGUGGCGAAGGCGGGUCUCUGGGCCGAUACUGACGCUGAGGAGCGAAAGCGUGGGGAGCAAACAGG